rnacentral:rRNA from 1 species
AGGAAUAUUGGUCAAUGGACGCAAGUCUGAACCAGCCAUGCCGCGUGCAGGAUGACGGCUCUAUGAGUUGUAAACUGCUUUUGUACGAGGGUAAACGCAGAUACGUGUAUCUGUCUGGAAGUAUCGUACGAAUAAGGAUCGGCUAACUCCGUGCCAGCAGCCGCGGUAAUACGGAGGAUUCAAGCGUUAUCCGGAUUUAUUGGGUUUAAAGGGUGCGUAGGCGGUUUGAUAAGUUAGAGGUGAAAUUUCGGGGCUCAACCCUGAACGUGCCUCUAAUACUGUUGAGCUAGAGAGUAGUUGCGGUAGGCGGAAUGUAUGGUGUAGCGGUGAAAUGCUUAGAGAUCAUACAGAACACCGAUUGCGAAGGCAGCUUACCAAACUAUAUCUGACGUUGAGGCACGAAAGCGUGGGGAGCAAACAGGAUUAGAUACCCUGGUAGUCCACGCAGUAAACGAUGAUAACUCGUUGUCGGCGAUACACAGUCGGUGACUAAGCGAAAGCGAUAAGUUAUCCACCUGGGGAGUACGUUCGCAAGAAUGAAACUCAAAGGAAUUGACGGGGGCCCGCACAAGCGGAGGAACAUGUGGUUUAAUUCGAUGAUACGCGAGGAACCUUACCCGGGCUUGAAAGUUAGCGACGAUUCUUGAAAGAGGAUUUCCCUUCGGGGCGCGAAACUAGGUGCUGCAUGGUUGUCGUCAGCUCGUGCCGUGAGGUGUCGGGUUAAGUCCCAUAACGAGCGCAACCCCUACCGUUAGUUGCCAUCAGGUGAAGCUGGGCACUCUGGCGGGACUGCCGGUGUAAGCCGAGAGGAAGGUGGGGAUGACGUCAAAUCAGCACGGCCCUUACGUCCGGGGCUACACACGUGUUACAAUGGUAGGUACAGAGGGCAGCUACCCAGCGAUGGGAUGCGAAUCUCGAAAGCCUAUCUCAGUUCGGAUUGGAGGCUGAAACCCGCCUCCAUGAAGUUGGAUUCGCUAGUAAUCGCGCAUCAGCCAUGGCGCGGUGAAUACGUUCCCG